rnacentral:rRNA from 1 species
AGAGUUCGAUUCUGGCUCAGGAUGAACGCUAGCUGCAGGCUUAACACAUGCAAGUCGAGGGGAAACGACAUCGAAAGCUUGCUUUUGAUGGGCGUCGACCGGCGCACGGGUGAGUAACGCGUAUCCAACCUGCCCACCACUUGGGGAUAACCUUGCGAAAGUAAGACUAAUACCCAAUGAUAUCUCUAGAAGACAUCUGAAGGAGAUUAAAGAUUUAUCGGUGAUGGAUGGGGAUGCGUCUGAUUAGCUUGUUGGCGGGGUAACGGCCCACCAAGGCAACGAUCAGUAGGGGUUCUGAGAGGAAGGUCCCCCACAUUGGAACUGAGACACGGUCCAA